AUAAUUACUAAAAACACACAGCUUUUCAUAUGUCCUUUGGCCAUCUGAAUGUGUUCUUUGGAAAAUGUCUAUUCAUUUCCUCUGUCCAGUUUUUAAU